GACGUAGGUGGCGAACGUUAUCCGGAAUUAUUGGGCGUAAAGGGUGCGUAGGUGGCCUGACAAGUUAUCAGUGGCAAAUCGAGGCUCAACCUCGUGGAAACUGGUAAUACUGUUCGGCUUGAGUACAGGAGAGGUUAACGGAACUCUAUGUGGAGCGGUAAAAUGCACAGAUAUAUAGAAGAACAUCAAUAAAAGGCGAAGGCAGUUAACGUAUUCUGUUAACUGACGCUGAGGCACGAAAGCGUGGGGAGCAAAACGG
rnacentral:rRNA from 1 species